rnacentral:rRNA from 1 species
CAUGUAGGCGGAUUGUUAAGUCUGGUGUGAAAGCCCGGGGCUCAACCCCGGAAGUGCAUUGGAUACUGGCAAUCUUGAGUAUGGGAGAGGAAAGUGGAAUUCCGAGUGUAGCGGUGAAAUGCGUAGAUAUCCGGAAGAACACCAGUGGCGAAGGCGGCUUCCUGGACCAAUACUGACGCUGAGGUGCGAAAGCGUGGGGAGCAAACA